rnacentral:rRNA from 1 species
CCUACGGGUGGCUGCAGUCGAGAAUCUUCGGCAAUGGACGAAAGUCUGACCGAGCGACGCCGCGUGCGGGAUGAAGGCCUUCGGGUUGUAAACCGCUGUCGUAGGGGAACAAAUGUACGGGGGUACUCCCCUGUAUUUGAGUGAUCCUAGGAGGAAGGAGAGGCUAAGCUCGUGCCAGCAGCCGCGGUAAGACGAGCUCUCCAAACGUUAUUCGGUAUCACUGGGCUUAAAGAGUUCGUAGGCGGUCUGGUAGGUGAGGUGUGAAAUCCCCCGGC